rnacentral:ribozyme from 11 species
UCCUAUAUUUUUUUUUUUUUUUUUUUUUUUUUUUUUUUUUUUUCUGG